rnacentral:rRNA from 1 species
AGCGAACGCUGGCGGCGUGCUUAACACAUGCAAGUCGCGCGCGAAAGAGGCUUUCGGGUCUUGAGUAGAGCGGCGCACGGGUGCGUAAGACGCGGGUGACCUAUCCACGAGGUGGGGAUAACCCUUCGAAAGAGGGGCUAAUACCGGAUGAGCCCACAGGCAGAGAUGCUAGGGGGCAAAGGGUGCGAUUUACUAAGCGCAUCUCUUCGUGGCGGGGCCCACGGCCUACAGCUAGUCGGUGUGGUAACGGCACACCAAGGCGAAGACGGGUAGCUGGUCUGAGAGGAUGGCCAGCCACACGGGGACUGAGACACGGCCCCGACUCCUACGGGAGGCAGCAGUGGGGAAUAUUGGGCAAUGGGCGCAAGCCUGACCCAGCGACGCCGCGUGGGUGAUGAA